AUGAAGGGCCUGUGGAAGCAGAGCGGGCUGGCGGCCAUGGCGUGCGCCAACACGGACCAGCUCGGCCCGUCCGGCGCCGGGGCGGGACGCUCCCGCAGGCGCGCGAGGCUCGUGGUGUACGCCCUCGCGGUGGCCUUCGCCGCAUUGACCGCCUACAUCGCCCUCUGCUCGCCCGCGGCCCCCGCCGGCGCGGGCGUCGGUGGGGGCGGGGACGGAGCCUCGUGGUUCGACGGCGUGUACGCUUCCACGGCGCCGUACCGCUCGCAGGUAUCGACCUUCUUCUCCUCCAUCUUCCCCACCAACUCGUCCGCCCCCUCGCCCGAGCCGCCUCGCCGCGACGGCGGUGGCUCGGCCGGCGGAUCGAGCGAGGGGGGCGGCGAGGUGAAUCGCGAUGUGGAUGGUAAGCGAGUCGGAAGCGGAGCAGGGAGCAGUAAUUCCGCUACGGCUGGGUCUGAGAAGCAGUUGGGGAGUGGAGGUAGUGCGCCAAGCAGCAAUGCCGCCGGUGGCAGUGCACCGUCAGCCGUGAACCCAGCGGGAGGUGGCACGGCCGCCGCCAAGAGCGAUUCUCCGACGAAUAAUCCUGCCACAAGUGGCAGUGCGCCGGUUAGUUCGGCAGAUCGGAAUAAAGGUAACUCUACUGGAGGCGGUUCUAGUAGCCAGGCAGGGGGUGGUGGUGGAUCCCCAACCAGUGAUUCAGCCGGAGAAAGAACCGUGGCGAAGGCCGACGAGGAGAGUGAUGGAUCAAAUAAGCAGUCGGGAAGCGUAGCUCCGACGAAUAAUGGCGCCGCUGGAAAUGUCAGCGCGGUGAAGGCUGACACCAAGGAUUCAGUUGUAGUCUCUGCCGGAGAUGGCAGCACCGCGAAGUCUGAUUCCAAAAUUGGGUCUGAUAGUCAGGCAGUGACUGCAGGCGGUGCUCCGAGCAGUGGUUCUGCUGCUGGAAAUAGCACCACAGCGAAGGCUGGUGGAAAGGAUUCAGUUGGUGCGGCGAGCAGUGGCUCGGCCGCAACUGACACAGUUGUGAAGGCUGAUCCAAAUAAUGAGUCUGAUGGUGCAUCAGGGAGUGGAAAUGUAGAUGAAACCAAUAAAUCAGCACCAAGUGCUACUCCAGUGAAGAGCAAUGCUGAAGAUGGAGGAAUUCAGCGCGAUAAAGCGAGUGGGAAUGUGGCUUCAACUAGUAAUCAGACUGCAGUGGCAGGGGAGAAGGAAGAUGGAUCUUCAACCAAGAACCAGACCCUUGUAACAUCUCCAAUUGCGACGAAACAGAACCAGACGAGUGUACCUUCUUCUGUUGGAAGUGGUAGUGCUGUGAAUAAGAAGGAAACAACUCCCCAGGUUAGUGCAGGUUCACUGAAGGAUCAUUCAUCCCAAACAAUCGCCGCAAAAGCUGGGAAUCACAGCGAAGUUCUGGUCAAGGGGAACGUGUCAUCAACUAAACAAGCCGGUGGUGCCAGUGGAAAUAAGAAGGUUGACUGGAUAAAGGAGAUGGCCGGCUGUGACAUGUUCCAUGGGAACUGGGUUCGGGACGACUCGUACCCUCUCUACCCCGGGGGAUCGUGUCCUCACAUUGAUGAACCCUUCGACUGCCAUCUCAAUGGUCGGCCGGACCGAGCUUAUGAGAAGCUCCGGUGGCAACCCAGUGGAUGCAACAUCCCAAGAUUGAAUCCAACCGACAUGUUGGAGAGGCUGAGGGGGAAAAGACUAGUUUUUGUUGGCGAUUCACUCAACAGGAACAUGUGGGAAUCUCUGGUUUGUAUAUUGAGGCAUUCUGUCAAGGACAAGAGGAAGGUUUUUGAGGCUUCUGGUAGGCGCGAGUUUAAGACCGAGGGCUCAUACUCUUUCCUGUUCACGGACUACAACUGCAGUGUGGAGUUCUUCCGCUCUCCUUUCCUAGUUCAAGAGUGGGAGACACGAGUCAGCAAUGGAAAUAAAAAGGAAACCCUUAGGCUUGACAUUGUCGAGCAAUCAUCACCAAAGUACAAGGAUGCAGACUUCAUCAUUUUCAAUACUGGACACUGGUGGACACAUGAAAAAACUGCCCUAGGGAAGGACUAUUACCAGGAAGGUAGUCACAUAUAUAGUGAGUUAAAUGUCGUGGACGCCUUUCAUAAAGCCCUUAUCACCUGGUCCAGAUGGAUUGACGGCAACGUAAAUCCCAAGAAAACCACUGUGAUGUUCAGAGGCUACUCAGCGUCUCAUUUCAGUGGCGGGCAAUGGAAUUCAGGAGGCAGCUGCGACAAGGAGACCGAACCAAUAAAAAAUGAACAAUACCUUUCAACCUACCCACCAAAGAUGAGCAUUUUGGAGGAUGUGAUCCACAAGAUGAGAACCCCGGUUGUUUACUUGAACAUAACAAGAUUGACGGACUAUAGAAAGGAUGCACACCCCUCGAUCUACCGCAAGCAACACCUGAGCGAGGAGGAGAGGAGGUCGCCUGAGAGAUACCAGGACUGCAGCCACUGGUGUCUCCCCGGGGUACCGGAUUCCUGGAACGAGCUGGUUUACGCCCAACUUUUGAUCAGUCAGCAUCAGAUGCUCCAACAGUAA
rnacentral:rRNA from 1 species